GGACUACCGGGGUUUCUAAUCCCGUUCGCUCCCCUAGCUUUCGCGCCUCAGCGUCAGAAGAGAUCCAGCACGUCGCUUUCGCCACCGGCGUUCCUUCCGAUAUCAACGCAUUUCACCGCUCCACCGGAAGUUCCACAUGCCCCUACCUCCCUCAAGACCGCCAGUAUCCAAGGCACUUUUCCGGUUGAGCCGAAAGAUUUCACCCCGGACUUGGCGGCCCGCCUACGCGCCCUUUAAGCCCAGUGAUUCCGAACAACGUUCGCACGGUUCGUCUUACCGCGGCUGCUGGCAC
rnacentral:rRNA from 3 species